rnacentral:rRNA from 1 species
AGAGUUCGAUCCUGGCUCAGGAUGAACGCUGGCGGCGUGCUUAACACAUGCAAGUCGAGCGAAGCGGUUUCAAUGAAGUUUUCGGAUGGAUUUGAAAUUGACUUAGCGGCGGACGGGUGAGUAACGCGUGGGUAACCUGCCUUACACUGGGGGAUAACAGUUAGAAAUGACUGCUAAUACCGCAUAAGCGCACAGGGCCGCAUGGUCUGGUGUGAAAAACUCCGGUGGUGUAAGAUGGACCCGCGUCUGAUUAGGUAGUUGGUGGGGUAACGGCCCACCAAGCCGACGAUCAGUAGCCGACCUGAGAGGGUGACCGGCCACAUUGGGACUGAGACACGGCCCAAACUCCUACGGGAGGCAGCAGUGGGGAAUAUUGGACAAUGGGCGAAAGCCUGAUCCAGCGACGCCGCGUGAGUGAAGAAGUAUUUCGGUAUGUAAAGCUCUAUCAGCAGGGAAGAAAAUGACGGUACCUGACUAAGAAGCCCCGGCUAACUACGUGCCAGCAGCCGCGGUAAUACGUAGGGGGCAAGCGUUAUCCGGAUUUACUGGGUGUAAAGGGAGCGUAGACGGUUUAGCAAGUCUGAAGUGAAAGCCCGGGGCUCAACCCCGGUACUGCUUUGGAAACUGUUAGACUUGAGUGCAGGAGAGGUAAGUGGAAUUCCUAGUGUAGCGGUGAAAUGCGUAGAUAUUAGGAGGAACACCAGUGGCGAAGGCGGCUUACUGGACUGUAACUGACGUUGAGGCUCGAAAGCGUGGGGAGCAAACAGGAUUAGAUACCCUGGUAGUCCACGCCGUAAACG